rnacentral:rRNA from 1 species
AUUGAGGACAGUGAGCAUGUUAGCCAAGAGGAUCAGAUACCCUAGUAGUCCAUGCCGUAAACGACUCGUGCUAGACGUUGGAAAUAUAUUUUUCAGUGUCGCAGCGAAAGCAUUAAGCACACCGCCUGGGGAGUACGACCGCAAGGUUAAAACUCAAAUGAAUUGACGGGGACCCGCACAAGCAGUGGAGCAUGUGGUUUAAUUCGAAGAUACGCGCAGAACCUUACCAACACUUGACAUGUUCGUCGCGAGCUUAAGAGAUUAGGCUUUUCAGUUCGGCUGGACGAAACACAGGUGCUGCAUGGCUGUCGUCAGCUCGUGUCGCGAGAUGUUGGGUUAAGUCCCGCAACGAGCGCAACCCCUACUUUUAGUUGCCACCAUUUAGUUGGGCACUUUUAAAGAACUCCCAGUGAUAAGUUGAAGGAAGGCGGGGAUGACGUCAAGUCUUCAUGGCCCUUAUGGACUGGGCCACACACGUGCUACAAUGGCGGUUACAACGGGCAGCGAAAGGGUGACCUGGAGCUAAUCCCCAAAAACCGUCCCAGUUUGGAUUGCACUUUGCAACUAGAGUGCAUGAAGUUGGAAUCGCUAGUAAUCGCGGAUCAGCAUGCCGCGGAGAAUACGUUCCCGGGCGUUGUACACACCGCCC